rnacentral:lncRNA from 1 species
GUGCUGUAUGAUUCUAAGACCAGGUCUACACUACAAUCUUAUAUCAGUAUAACUACGUCGCUCAGGAGUGUGAAAAACCCACACCCUAGAGCAACCAGUUAUACCAACCUAAGCCCUGGUGUAGACAAUGCUAUAUUGAGGGGAGGAGUUUUCCUGUCUACAUAGCUACUGCCUCUUGAGAAAGUGGAUUUCUACUCUGACAGAAGCUCUCCCAUUGGCAUAGCAGCAUCUUUACUGAAGCACUACAGUGGCACAACUGCACCGGUGCAACUGCAUUGCUGCAGCUUUUGAAGAGUAGACCUGCCCUAAGCAACUUGCUACUGCUGCGUGAAGAACAGUUCAACUUAAAGUUUUAUCUGACCAUGCAAGAUCAAGUUCCUGGAGAAAUUUGAACAAAGCAUCACAGUGACCAUCAGUUUCAAUCUCCACUCCAGCAAAGAGCCACACAAACAGCUGCUAAUGCCCCAGAAUUGUCCCAGUGAAGUCACUAGGACUCCAGGUAGACAAGUGUGUCUGGCUACAUAGGUCCUUUGUGGGACUGAGGCCCUGUGACUGCAACUUCAGUUUGCAGAGGUUGUGUACUAUGAAAGGCACUAGAUACUCUUUUCAAAAAUUUUAAUGUAAUGGACUGGUGCAACGAAAUCAUCAUCACUGGACAAUCUCACUGUUACGGUCUAUCCCAGCUUCUGGAAGAAACUUACGGAAGGACUAUGUGUACGGGUGGAGUUUUCUUUAUGAAGCAUUUUACAGGCAGAAGUGACAUCAGUGAUUUGACAGGAGAUUAAAAGGAAUUACAGUCAGAAAUACAUACUGCUCAGCUGGAACUUGGAAAGAAAGAGAACAGCACCAAGUUUUUCAAGGCAGAAAAUCAAGCCAUGCAUAAACGUCUGCAAACUCUAUCAGAUGCAAAUACUAGAGAAAAGCUACUAUUAGUGGAGGAUGUUACAAAGCUGAAGAAACUUGCUGAGAUUGUCAUUCAGGACAUUUCACACAAAGAAGCAGAGCUACUAGAAGUCCAGCAAGAGCUACAGAGGGCCACGAAUUCCAUGAAAGAAAAAGAGCAUAAUCGCCAUCAUUUGGAAAAUGAACUCCACCAGCAGAUUCAACACCACCAGGAUAUGGAAGCAAAGCUUGUGGAAAAUAGAUCAGAAUGUGUAAGAGUGCAGGCGUUGCUCCACCAGCUAGAGGAGAAAUACCUUACUAGCUCCCAGUCCAUGCAGCAGCAUAUUGCUAAAGAACUUCGUGAAGAAGCUGAAAAACUAAGACAGCAGCUCAAAGAAAAAGAACUUUCCGCUGAUGAGGAUAAAUAUUUACGCAACAAAAUGGCAGAAGAUUGUGGAUAUCUGACAAAAGAAAAUGGCUUUUUACAGUCUCAGGUUCUGGAAGCCACCAGGCAACUAGAUAGAGAGAGGCAGCUGAGAGAGGAGGAAAGCACCUGCCAUACAAGGAGGAUUUCUGAGCUAGCUUGUGAAAAGGAGAAAGAACGACAACUUGAGAUGGAGCUCACUUACCUGAAGAGACUAUUGCAGGAUGAAAGACAGAAGGCUCUUACUGCACAAGAGCAGGUACGACGUCUCCAGCAAGAAAGGAAAUCUGUAAAUCUAAAUGGACAGUCACUUCAGAGCCAGCUAAAAGAUUUAGAAAGGAGAUGGUCAAGAGCUCAACUGGAAAAUUCAAAACUGCAAACAGAAAAAACGCAUUUAGUAGAACAUAUUUCUCAGUUACAUAAACAGAUUUCUGAGAAAGAAGAUGAAAUCAAUCGCAUGCUUGGACAUGUUAAUACUAUGUCCUAUGACCUGACUACUCAGAAAUCUCAAGUGGAAACAGAACAUAGCUUGCAGAGAGAAAGAUGGAAAGAGUUCUCCAAUAUUCUAACAGCAUACAAGUCACCUGCUAAAUGA